AUUACAUACUUCCAUCAUUCCCAUUUGGUUCUUUUGUAGGUGAGAGACGUGUUUACUAUGAGAAACACUUCGAGGUCUGUUUGAUCCAUAGGUUUUGAAGGCUGAUUUUGGAUCGCGGUUUACUCGUGACAAAACUGUUGGUAUUUUGUGUCUUCUUUCUUUAAAGUGUGAUUUCUCUGUUGUUUUGUUCUCGUGUUUUUUUACACUUUAUUGUAAUAUCUCUUAUGUAGUAAUUUCUGGUAUAAUAUCAUGUUUUUU
rnacentral:sRNA from 1 species